rnacentral:rRNA from 1 species
GAUGAACGCUGGCGGCGUGCCUAAUACAUGCAAGUCGAACGCUGGAAAUCUAGCUUGCUAGAUUGAAGGAGUGGCGAACGGGUGAGUAAUACAUAAGCAACCUACCCACGAAGACUGGGAUAAUCUCUGGAAACGGGGACUAAUACCGGAUAGGUAAUCGGAAGGCAUCUUCUGAUUAUUAAAGGUUAAAAACACUGGUGGAUGGGCUUAUGGCGCAUUAGUUAGUUGGUGAGGUAACGGCCCACCAAGACGAUGAUGCGUAGCCGGCCUGAGAGGGUGAACGGCCACAUUGGGACUGAGACACGGCCCAGACUCCUACGGGAGGCAGCAGUAGGGAAUUUUCGGCAAUGGGGGGAAACCCUGACCGAGCAACGCCGCGUGAGUGAUGACGGCCUUCGGGUUGUAAAGCUCUGUUGUAAGGGAAGAACGGUAGAUAGAGAAUAUCUAAAUGACGGUACCUUACCAGAAAGCCACGGCUAACUACGUG